UGCGUAGGCGGUCUGGUAAGUCAGCGGUGAAAUUUAGGGGCUCAACCUCUACCGUGCCGUUGAUACUGUCAGGCUAGAAUGCGGAUGCCGUGGGAGGAAUGUGUGGUGUAGCGGUGAAAUGCAUAGAUAUCACACAGAACACCGAUUGCGAAGGCAUCUCACGAAUCCGCAAUUGACGCUGAUGCACGAAAGCGUGGGGAUCAAACA
rnacentral:rRNA from 1 species